UACGGAGGGUGCAAGCGUUAUCCGGAUUCACUGGGUUUAAAGGGUGCGUAGGUGGGCAGGUAAGUCAGUGGUGAAAUCUCCGGGCUCAACCCGGAAACUGCCAUUGAUACUAUCAGUCUUGAAUACCGUGGAGGUGAGCGGAAUAUGUCAUGUAGCGGUGAAAUGCUUAGAUAUGACAUAGAACACCAAUUGCGAAGGCAGCUCACUGCGCGAAUAUUGACACUGAGGCACGAAAGCGUGGGGAUCAAACAGG
rnacentral:rRNA from 1 species